rnacentral:rRNA from 1 species
GCCCUAGUUCUGACCGUAAACUAUGCCAUCUAGCGAUCCGAUGGGGUAUUGUUGCCUUGUCGAGGAGCUUCCCGGAAACGAAAGUCUUUCGGUUCCUGGGGUAGUAUGGUUGCAAAGCUGAAACUUAAAGAAAUUGACGGAAUGGCACCACCAGGAGUGGAGCCUGCGGCUUAAUUUGACUCAACACGGGAAAACUCACCCGGCCCGGACACCGUAAGGAUUGACAGAUUGAAAGCUCUUUCUCGAUUUGGUGGUUGGUGGUGCAUGGCCGUUCUUAGUUGGUGGAGCGAUUUGUCUGGUUUAUUCCGAUAACGAGCGAGACUCUAGCCUGCUAAAUAGUGGCUGGAUUUUUACGUCCAGUCUACUUCUUAGAGGGAUAAGCGGUGUUUAGCCGCACGAGAUUGAGCGAUAACAGGUCUGUGAUGCCCUUAGAUGUCCGGGGCUGCACGCGCGCUACAAUGGAAGAAUCAGCUGGCCUAUCCAUUGCCGAAAGGCAUUGGUAAACCGUUGAAACUCUUCCGUGACCGGGAUAGGGAAUUGUAAUUAUUUCCCUUGAACGAGGAAUUCCUAGUAAGUGUGAGUCAUCAGCUCACGCUGAUUACGUCCCUGCCAUUUGUACACACCGCCCGUCGCUGUCCGGGACUGAGCUGUCUCGAGAGGACUGCGGACUGCUGUCGCGAGGCCUUCGGGUCGCGUUAUGGCGGGAAACAGUUCAAUCGCAAUGGCUUGAACCGGGUAAAAGUCGUAACAAGGUAUCUGUAGGUGAACCUGCAGAUGGAUCAUCG